UACGUAGGGUGCAAGCGUUAAUCGGAAUUACUGGGCGUAAAGCGUGCGCAGGCGGUUUUGUAAGUCUGUCGUGAAAUCCCCGGGCUCAACCUGGGAAUGGCGAUGAAGACUGCAAGGCUAGAAUCUGGCAGAGGGGGGUAGAAUUCCACGUGUAGCAGUGAAAUGCGUAGAGAUGUGGAGGAACACCGAUGGCGAAGGCAGCCCCCUGGGUCAAGAUUGACGCUCAUGCACGAAAGGCGU
rnacentral:rRNA from 1 species